rnacentral:tRNA from 1 species
GCCUUGGUGGUGAAAUGGUAGACACGCGAGACUCAAAAUCUCGUGCUAAAGAGCGUGGAGGUUCGAGUCCUCUUCAAGGCAUAAUAUUGAGAAUGCUCAUUGAAUGAGCAUUCUCAAUUGGAAUAA